AUGGCAUACGUGGACCACGCCUUCUCCAUCACCAACGAGGACGAGGACGACCUGGUGGGCGACGCGGUGGGGGGACGACCCCGCGGCGCGCCGGUCAAGGAGAUCGCCUUCGCCGCCGUGCUCCUCGCGUUCGGCGCACUCGGCGUCGUCGCCGGCCUCGUCAUGGCCGCCCACUGUGUCUGCGGCGACCACUCCCACGCAAAUACCGAGCUGUAG
rnacentral:rRNA from 1 species